rnacentral:rRNA from 1 species
UACGAAGGGGGCUAGCGUUGCUCGGAAUUACUGGGCGUAAAGGGCGCGUAGGCGGCGCAUUUAGUCAGGCGUGAAAGCCCUGGGCUCAACCUGGGGACUGCGCUUGAUACGGGUGUGCUAGAGGACGGAAGAGGGUCGCGGAAUUCCCAGUGUAGAGGUGAAAUUCGUAGAUAUUGGGAAGAACACCGGUGGCGAAGGCGGUGACCUGGUCCGGUACUGACGCUGAGGCGCGACAGCGUGGGGAGCAAACAGG